CUUUCCAACGGCGAUGAGGUCCGCCUGGAACCGCCUUCGUGGCUAAUGACUUCUACCGAAUC
rnacentral:ncRNA from 2 species